ACUAUGGUGUAGGCUGGCGGCUGCAGCUCCAAUUCGACCCCUAGCCUGGGAACCUCGAUAAGCCUUGGGUGUGGCUCUAAAAAAAGCAAAAAAUAAUAAAUAAAUAAAAUAAAAGAACUAUACCAUUCUUUUCUAUCUAUCGGCUUUCAAGAAAUUUUACAUUAUUUCCUUCCAUUUUUAUUGAAGUGAAAUUCACAUGACAUAAAAUUAACCAUUUUAAUGUGAACAAUGCAGUGGCAUUUAGUACAUUCAUGAGGUUGUAGAACCACCACCUCUAUCUAGUUCAAAAAUAGUUUCAUCAUAGAAAAAUAAUCCCUGCUACCCAUUAAGCAGUUUCCUAGUCUUGCUCCCCUUUCCCAGCCCCUGGCAACUACCAAUCUGCCUUCUACCUCUAUGGAUUUAUCUAUUCUGAUAUUUCAUAUAAAUGGAGUCAUACAGUGUAUGUCCUUUUGUGUCUGGCUUCUUUCAUUUAUCAUAAUGCUUUCAAGGUGCAUUCAUGUUUUAGCAUUUAUUGGUGCUUUGUGCUUUAUUCAUGGCUGUAUAAUAUUCCAUUGUGUGCAUAUAUAGCAUAAUUUGUUUUCCCUAUCUAUGUGUUGAUAGGCACUGGGUUGUUUCCAUCUUUUGGCUAGUGCUGCUCUGAACAUGCAGGUACGAGGAUUUGCUCGAGUAGCUAUUUUCAGUUGUUUUGGGUAGAUACCCAGGAGUGGAAUCGCUGGAUCAUGGGGUAACUCUGUUUAACAUUUUUUGGACCCACCAAAUUGUUGUUUUCCACACAAUAAUCAACAUCCUUAUAAACUCACUUUCAUGUCUUGAGGAUAAAAGGCAUAUUAACUGCCAUGCUUUCCCACGCCUGGUCCCUUAUUUGUUGCCUCUGGUCUUAUACUUUAAGGUAAGAUGUUAAACCCUGCCUCUUCUUAUCCUAGAGAUGCAAAGUGAUUUGGAUGCUUGACAGAGAAAACAUUUGGGUAAACUAUAAAUCCUUCUUGGUGUAGCUGAGUAGUAAGGAACAGAUAACACCAGCAACACUUACGGAGGACUAUAUGUGUGCUGGGCAUUGGACUAAAGGUAUCACCUACUUCCUCCCACUUAACCCUCAUGCCAGUUCAACUGUGAGCCCUCUAUUACAGAUGAGGAAAACUGAGGUCUGAGCAAGAGCUAAGUGCCCCUCCCCCAGGCUCUCAUUAUCUAUAAGCCUCUCCUACAAAGAAACUCUGCAGCUGCCACCAGCAAUGAAUCAGAAGCUGUUCUGUGCCUCGGGAGCUCAUGGUCUACUUUGGCAGAUGGAUAAAGAGGCAAUUAUAAUAAAGUACAAUCAAUGCCAGGACAGGUGUCACAACAGGGAGGAUGUGUACUUAGCUCAGCUCUAGGUGACAGACUUACAAGAGGAGACAAAAUCUAAGGUCGGUGUGUCAUUUCAUUUAUAAAUAAAUGGGCCUUUGUGCCCCUUGACACGGUUGAGCCCUUCCCUACCCUCCCUUUGGCACCACCACCUCGUCAUUCUGUUCCCGUGCAGUGUUUAGAACAUAGUAGCUGCUCACUAAACACAGGUUACUAAACACACAUGCUCCUCAGAUGGAGUUCCAGCCCCCAUCACACUGUCUUGGGACUCUAGUGCCUAGGACUCAAAUCACAGGCUUUCUUAAAACAGCUGUGGCCCAAGAAUGAGGGGAAGGAACUGAAAAAGGCCUAGAAUGGCUUCUGUGGUCCUCUCUGUGGUCUUCUGAAGGAGCUCAUAUACCUGAAAGGGCCCAUGUACCUGAGAAGAGGGGGAAGGGGGUGGGAAGAGGGGUGUGACUGUGAAGAUACCUUCCCCCGCCCAGGUGAGGAGUCUGUUGAGGUGCCUGGGAUCCUGAAGCAGAAGUGGAAUGAACUGAUUUCCUCCCAUUUUGAAACUGACACCCCAGACAACAGAGUGACCUUCCCAAGGACACAUGCUGAAUAAGUCACAGGUAGCAAAGGUUCAUCCUCCAGGACAUGGACUUCUCUGCACAAGCCGCCCUCUGGGACGGAGCCUGUGGCCCAAAGUCUGGCGAACCUGAAAUACUCCACGCUGUGCAUUCCACAGGGGUGACUUGUGAUUGGAAUGAGAACAUUUCAGCUCACUCCCUCUGUGACUUGGCCUUUAUCUUUUGAGCCCUAAUAUUACAUUAAGGUAGCUUCUGGCUUUUAAUUGCCCUGAACUUUUGUUAACAUUAAAUGAAGGAAGGAAAUGGGAAGGAAAAUAAAACCGUAUCUGUAUUGCUUUUGAGUUGCAUAAUUGUAUAUUUUUGCCACCUCAUUAGUUUUCAACUAUUCCAGCCUACAAACCUCUCCCCUGCCGCCACCGAGGAAAAUAAAUCAGUCAUUCCUUUAUUGCUGCAAAGUCCGCCAAGCUCUAGGUUCUCUUCUCUAAUAUUAAAGAGGAUGAUGCCACUUUAAAUUCAGAGUCUAUUUUUUAAUUACCACCUGUGGGAGACCCUGACUCACACAAGUGCUUGGUUGUCUUCUUGCCUUUCCAAAAAACACACCUUCCCUCCAAGCGGAUGUGACAUUUGAAGACUUAAACAUCAGUUACUGGAGGCAGUCACAGAGUCUCCCCUUUAUUUGGGGAACAGAGACGGCCCUGCCCAUCCCCAACUGCUUCUAACUCAAAGAUGACCUCACAGCCUCAGCUCACACUUUCCAAAAAUAAAACUUUACCUCGGCGCUUUACCACACCCACAAAAAUUGGCUCCAAAAUGUUUUACCAAAUAGUUUUGAGGAGUACAAAUGAGAACAGCAUAACCCAGGUAUGUCACUGUAACCAUGGCUACAGGUUUUAUUAGCACUAAUACCAGGAUGUGGUCAGAUCAGAUAUACACAGACGGCAAACACAAACCUGAGUGGUGUCAGCAUGUGCGCCGUAAAUUCUCCAAAUUGGAAACGUAGCUCUUAAUGACUAUGAUUCAUAAAGGACCUUGGGCUGGUGGUGGCGGCCGGAGGGGGCGGGCAGAGUGAGGAGGGAAGUACGGGGAGGGUGGAGGGCUGCAUGGGUAAGAGAAGCUCAGGAUUCUAAUUUUAGCUGUAAUCGAGCUUUUUAAUACAGUCCUCUAACAUGCCACUACCUUGCAUUUAGAUUGCGAUUUUCCCUUCUCAGUGUUCUUUUGCGUGUCUAGUCUGUUCUUCACAGCAAUCUUGAGAGAGAUCAGAGAUGGCUAAUAGCCUCAUUUCUCAGAUGAGAAAAGGGCUCAGAAAGCUUAACUGAUUUGCCCAAGAACAGAGGCUUGGAAGACAACUGAACCGCACUAGAACUGGGUCUCCUUAAUAUUCUUUUUACUGCACCCCUCUGCCAGCCUUUUGUAUUCUGCUGGGGACAUUUGAUAUGGAUUAAUUCCUCUUGCAAACAACCCUCAUCCUUAUCAUUUGUCUGAUUAGCCAGAGACCAGGAUCAGUCCAUCAGACUGGAAAGUCAGCCCUGUCUUUUGCCUUUUGUCCUCACCUCUUUUUCCCGGCCCCCUGCCUGGCUCUCCCCUACACAUGACAGCACAAAGAACAGGUAAUAUAGUUCCAGUUCUGGAGGGAGCGUGUGGUCCAGGGGCUGCAAGCUUAACCUGCCUCCAGAGACCAGGUAGGUGUCAGGACUGGGUGAAGCAGGCAGGGUGGGCACUGGGGUCCAGGUUAGGGAACAUCGGUCCUUCUUAAACCCCAGCAGACUGUGGCUGAGUGGGAGCUGAGUGUGGCCAAAUUUUAGGAUGAGCUAAAGACAGAAUUUUAUAUGAAAUCAUAGGAGGAAAAAAAUUAAAUAGAAGUGCCCUUGGGUUAGCUAUAGUUCCUGGGCUGCCAGGGAGCACUGUAAGUUUUAUGCCUUUGGGUCCCCAAUGCCCGCUGUCAUAGGCGAUACUGUAUCACACUUCUCUUAAGGUUUUGGUCCUAUUAAAAUAUAUAUGUGUAUGUGAGCUUCUUGAGGUCACAGUAGGUGUCUUAAUUCAUCAGCAGUGUGUCCAUAGGGUGUGGCACCAUGACUGGCUUUCAGAUGCCUGAUGGAUGAAUGAUCAGGGAACACCCCUUCAUCCUGGAAGGAUCCAGAGACUGAGGUCCUCAGUGCCCUGAAAACAGAGGCAGCAGAGUACAUGGGUACAGCAGGAUCUUCACACUUUAGUACCUCCGUGGCCUUGGGAAAAUCACUUAGGUCUCUAAUAGCCUCAGUUUCUUCCCCCACAUAAUGGGUAUUAAAAGACCCACCUCCCAAGUUGUUGAAGAGGCCACGUCUGUAGAGCCUUGAUUCCCACUCCCAGAGUUGCACCCUUGGUAAGAACACAGAAAAUGGUGGCUUUUUGAUUCAUCAGAUCAUUCCCUGUUUCUGUGAAAGGUGAUAAGACAUUCUGCCAACCCUCUGCUUUGAGGCUUUGGCCCCCUGAGGUAUCUAUGUCCAUAGAGGCCAGUCCAAGGAAAACAAGUGAGCAUUCUGGCUGAAAUGAAGAGGAGAAAGUUGAUUGUGAUGGACAAAACAAGGCAUCCCUAAGAAACUAGAUCUUGAAGGUCAGGAGGGCUUUAAAGAGGGGCUGCAGCUGCAAACAAAGUUAGCAAGAAAGCGGGGGCCAGACACAUGCAUCUGCUCUGAGUCCCAACAUCGGUUGGUUGACUCAGUCUUUAAACCAGUUCACAGAAAAAGUGAUCAGACGCUGCUUGGAACAAAUUCAUUCUGUAAUGAAUGGAUGUGUUUGCCUUUCACACGACAGGAGUAGCGUAAUAGUAAAUAUUGUGCUAUCAGGUUUUCAAGGCGAUUUUAAGACAACCACUAUGUGAAAUGCACUUGGGCUACAUGCUUUACACACAUUGUCUUUAUACUAUUAUCCACUCGCUAACCCACUCAUUCAUUCAUUCAUUCAACAAAGACCUAUUUCCAGCCCACUUUCUGCCAGGUACUGUGCUCAGAAUAAAGGAUAAAAUGAAGUAGCACAGUGGAAAAAACACCUUGCCCUCUGAGAAAUGCACUAAUAUCUCUGCUUACAGGAAAGAAAACUAAACUCAAAGUGCUUAAGUGAAUGCCUGCACUCCACACCGGUGUUGGUAAAGGAGGCAAAAUGCUUGACUGUGUGUUUUCUGGUUUAGGAGAAGAAAAAUUAGGAAGUUUCCUUGAUGAUCUAGGAAUAUAAACAUGAGGACGCGUGUGUCUUGCAAACAGGCUGGGAUAUUGCGUUGAAUCACAUGUAACAGGACUGGAAUUUUCAGAAUAUCAGAGAGACACGAUUUUUAGUGUUGAAUCCCUAAGCACGGCUGAAAACGACUAAUGAUUGUCAGAGUCUAUGACACGGACCCUUUGCGGACAAUGUAGUUAGGGUUGAGAAGAGAGAAAAAGAAAGAGGGAGGGAGAAACAGGGAAGGAGAAUAAGGUGGCUAGAGAUUUUAGGCCUCCUGUAACAGAAAUUCAGAGAAAGCCCAGAUGAACAUCGUUUUAAACUCUUCUCAUUGUUCUUAAAUUAUUCUCUAAUUAUUUUUCUCGCAUCAUCUUUGACUGGGGAGAAGGUAUCUUUUUCUUCCCCUGUCUUUUCCUAGCAUAGCCUAAUUAAUACUAGAUUGAUUGAAAGAUUGACUUAUUUGAACCUUGAGUGAAAUGGAGCUUUUUCAUUUUCUUUUCUGCUGAACCUGAAAUAGAGCAUAUAGUAAUUAGGAAAGGAUCCCUUGUUAUCAGAAAGUCCCAGCCACAAUGAGCUCUUUGUAACUGAGCGAAAGCAAGGUAGAUGAUUAUUUCAGAGCUGAUAAAGCACACUCCUUGUUCCCUUCUGCUUUCAGUGAUAAGGGAGUUCCUUGAUCAUUAUUUCCUCCUUAAGUGAGUUAUUUGGCUGGAGGACGUCUGGAUGGUGGGCUAAGUGGUGGGUAAUUGUCAUCUAAGUCUGGUCACAGACGUGACUGAUGGCCUCUUCGAUGUCUUUCAUUGCCCCUGCUCUCUCCUCAAUGAUCUAGGUUGGCUCGUUUACAUUACAUUUUUUAGGCUUUCUCUUCUUUCAGGACCCUCCGGUUCACUGGCAUGACUUCAUUCAUUCAGGAACAUGCCCAACUCUGGGCAUCCAAACAGAGUAAGACAGGCUAGGGCUCUGUUCUCAUUGGCUCAUCUUCCAGAGUAGGGAGACAGUCCACAAAUGCGUACCUUGAAGUAACAAGAGCAUCAUGUGUGAAUGAGAAGUUUCAGAGGGGGAAGAACUACAAAGGCGAUGAGACAGGAUGGUGCAGUAGUGGUUGACUGGGAGCUGGGCUUCUUAGAUGACUCGGUUAAGAAAGGUUCCUGUUAAGGUAACGUUUGAGGUUAGGAGUGAGUAGAAGUGCCUUUGAGCCCAGCUCUGCAAGUUAUGAAGCAGACGGUCAUGCCGGGACCUAAGAGAAGAUGUACUAAAGGGACAAAGAAGGACCUGAGGGGUGGACAGCUCUGACACCGGUGUGUCCAGGCCAGGUGAGUGAGAAGGGAGUGGAGGGUGAGAUUAGAGAAGGAGGCAGGGCUGGCUUUUGGAGGCACCUGUUGGGGAUGGCAGGGAGUUCAGACACCACUCCACAGGCGUGGGGAAGCCAUGCGGGGAGCCAUGGUGAGUGGAGGGGCAGUGGGUGGGGGCGUCAGGAUCUGGCUCAAGUGGAGAGAAGAGUAGAACCAGAGAGACUGGUUAGAAAGCUGCUGCCAUAAUCCAGGUGAAGGGUGAUGGUGCUCUAGCCAUGAAAUGGAGAGAAGUAGCUAGAUUCCGAAUAUACUUGAGGUAAUGGGACAGCUGAGGGGUUGCAGGUGGCAUGAAGCAAGAAGGGAAUAUGUGACAAAGGCUACUGUGACAAGGUGCCCCAGGCUGAGUAGCUUAAACAACAUCAGUGCAGUGGCUCACAGUUCUGGAGGCCAGGAAUCAAGGUGUUGGCAGGGAUGGUUCCUUCUGAAAGCUGGGAAGAAAAGAUCUGGUCCAGGUCCCUCUCCUUGGGUGUCAGUGGCCAUCUUCUCUAAAUGGCUCUUCACAUUGUCUUCCCCUUGUGCAAGUCGACCACUCUGUCCAAAUUUCUCCUUUUCAUAAGGACACCAGUCAAACUGAAUCAUGGACCCACUUGACUCCAGUAGGACCUCAUCUUAAUGAAUUACAUCUGCAGAAACGCUGUGUCCAACUAAGGUCAUACUUUGAGAUGGGGCUUAGGACUUCAACAUAUAAAUACAUCAUAAGUAGAUACAUAUAUGAUUCUUUGUGCUCUUCUGUAUCCUUUUAAUUUUUUUCAAAGAAAACAAGUAACUACAAUGUAGUCAGACAAGGGUGGUGGUAGGUGAUUAACUCCGUGAAAGCUCAGAGGGGAAAGAAAUCCAUUUGGGGAGGUUUGCGGGCUGAGAACUGACAUAAGAAGCUUGAAGGACUAGGGGUUCCCCCAUGAAGACACUGAGGGAAGAGGCGAGAACAUCCCAGGGCAGGCAGAACAGCACGUGCCAAGCACAGCAGUGUGGGGGAGCAGGGAUGCUGGGAGGAUGUAAGGAAACGUGGCAACAAGGGGUGUGAUGUAGGUGAGGCUGGGAUGGGAGCCGGGACCACCAGCCCACAAGCCAUCUGUGCUCCAUGCUAAAGACUUGAGAUUAUCAUACAAAUGAUGAAGAGCCAAAGAUGGGCUGAGCAGGGAACAUGACCCCAUUUGGAUUUUAGAAAAUGAACUGAAGGAAGGAAAACCUAGAGACCAGCCUGAGGUCAGGCUCAGACAAAUGCAAUGACAAGGCGGGUGAAGGCGGGGGGGCGCCUGGGCUUCUCGGAAUCCUUUCUUUGCCUCUCCAUCCUCUGCCCUCCAUGCUCCCACCCCCAGAGCCAGCUGGCUUGAACCCUGCUUCACCUUUGCCACUCUGUGCUCCAGCCCCACUGGCCUGGCUGUCUCUUAGACUGUGCCAGCUCUCUCCCAUACCCAGGCCUUCGCCCUGCUGUUCCUGGCACCUGUGCACAACCGGACCCUUGUUGUCCCUCAGGCCUCAGUUCAAAGCCACCUCCUCAGAGGCCAUGCUGACUCUUGCCUUUACAGCGCCAAAAGCCUAUCUCAGUUUCUGUGUUUGUGCACCUGUUUAUUAUUCACUUAUCCCUGGGGAAAGUGAGUAGCUGCACCGUACCUGUGUCAUUCAGGACGACAGCCGCGUGCCUGGGAAGGAGCUGACACACACGAGGGGCUCAUUCAAUGAGUUGGCAGAAGGAAAGAAGGGAGACAGGGAGGGAACGAAAGGACAGUUGGUGGGGCCAGGGGAAACAAAGUGUGUCCCCCUCUGACCAAUGGGGUGAGAACCGUGGAGAGAGGGUGAAGACGCCGUAUCCAGACCCUUGGAGUACAUGUUUUAAUUCUGAAAUGGUUGCUUUGAAAAAAGGCUGAUCAGUGGCAUGGAGCAAGAAUCUCCUUCCUACAUGGAACACCAGAGAAAGGAGGGAAAAAUACCUUUGAAAGGAGACCUAAAAAAAAAAAGUCAAGAUUCUCCCAGAACCAUCCCAAACUCUACAAAAGGCAAAAUCAUCAUUAGCUCAGCAGUUGAGGAUGUUCCUUUGGCCGGCCUAUGCGUUUAGGGUCAAAUAAUAAGGGCAUCCUCUGUCACCAGGCAUGGCUCCAAGAGGCUCUGCAUCUCCCGACUCACCAAGUUUUCACAACAGCUCUAUUUUACAAAUGAGGAAAGGGAGCUGCCCAGAGAGAGAGGUCAGGUGUCCUGCCCAAGGGGACAGACCUAGUGAGGAGCAGUCAGGAUUCGAACACAGGACAUUUGGUCCCACAACCAGCACUCUCCAGCUUUCCGUCACCUGUGUCAGUCAGGAUGGGCUGACUGCUAUAGCAAAUAACCCUUAAAUCUCUGUGGCUUCCCCCAGCAAAGGUUUCCUUCUCAUUCGCCCACUGUUCACUGAGGCCAGCGAGGUGCUCUGCGGGCCGUCAUUCAGGAACAGUUUCCUGGGCCCUUUGCAUCUGGCCAGCCAGCGAGCAGGCAGAGGAGCACAUGGAGGACCUUGGAGAAAAUUUCAGGAGGUUUCACACUCCCUUGGCCAGAACUCAGUCCCAGUGCCCCAAGACGGAAGGGGGCUGAGAGGGGUAGACCAGGCUGUUCCCAGGAUGAGGAUGUGGUGGGCAUCUUACCAAGUGCUGCCUCAGUGCCUAUUUUGAAGGACUUCUGUAGGAGAGACCUGGCAGGAGGGGCUCCUGGGAGUCAGAAAACCCUAGCUCCCGCCCUGACUCCGCCAGCUGUCAACUGGGUGACUUCUCGCAAGUCACAGCCUCUUUUGGUCCCAGAUUCCUUAUCAAUACAGUGAGGGAACCCAACCACAUGACCCACCUCUGGAUUCUUCCAAUUCAGGAUGUCUAAAUAAUAAGGUAUCAUUUUAUUAUUUUUAAUAACCACGGUGCCUUGUUUCUGCAUGAAUGACCUAGUUGUGCUUCUGUUCAAAAUUGCAACCAUAAUUAUAACAUUGAUUCUGAAGGGAAAUACUAUCUAUUUUCAUCUAAUACUAAAUAUCUAGUCCCACCUCCUAUAUGCAUACCUGGGUGGGGUGGGAGAUCCAACUUUGUAUUUGGACUAGUUACUUGAAGCAAUCAAUGAAAUUGGGGAAAAUACAGAUAUCUAUUUCAUCAUGCCUUGAGCCAGGUUUAAGUUAUAAACAUAAUACUCCACAAGCAGAUUAUUUCCUGUGAUCUGACAACUUCUGCACAAAACAGUACUUACAUCUAUUAGGGGGCAUCUGAGCAUGCCAGGUUAGCCAGGUGAGAGCCGUCAAGAAAAUAUAUGUCCAAAGCAGCAGAGUUAAUAACUGCUGACUGAGGUUCCGCCGCAUGCCCUUGCUGCCAGAGAGCCUGGGUUUCUGAAGUGUGUGAUAUUAUCGUAACCAUGGGGAUUUUGCAAGGACUGCAGGAUGGUUUUGAGAGCUGGGGCAAGGGUCAGGCAGGCAGGGUGGAGAGGUUUGGGGCUAAAUAAGAUGUUUUAAACCCCCAAGAGAGAUGGAGGAGGCAGGUAGGGCCUGCUAGAUGAGGUUCCUAGUUUAGAAAAAAAAAAUGAAAUAUACCAGAGUUGGAGGCCUGAGAGGAGAUGAGCACUGCAAGAGGGAGAGUAAACACAGCCCAGGGACCCUUCCUCCUGUCCUUCUCUCUGCCUGAUGGCUCUCCCACCACAUCCGCUGGAGAACACCCAAGUCAGGCCAUUCGUCCUGCCAGUCAUGCCUCACCCUCGUCCCAGUGCCAUUUUUCCUGAACAACCAUCAUCCUCCUGCUCCUGCUCUUGCCAACCUGUUCUCUCUCAGCCCAGUGACAGUGCUCUUUAUGGAACAAAGGUCUAUUCUGUCCCAUCCAUGCUUGAAAGCCCAUGCCCUUAUAGCACACAGCAGCCACCGACAUGGCUUAGAAGGCCCCUGGCAGUGUAGGGCCACCUGCCUUACGGGCUUCACGCCACCCCACUGUCAUCCCCACUCACUGCUGCUGCGUCCAGCCACACUGUCCCUUCAGGUCCUUUGCUGGAGAAGCAAGAGGUCCAGGCAUUCAUCUGAAAAAAAAAAAAAAA